rnacentral:lncRNA from 1 species
UACAUGCUCAAUGUCAACAGACCAAUGCUAUUGUCUUCUUAUGAAAAAUACAUAUAUUCGUUUAAAACUCAUUAAGGCCCAAAUAUUAAUUGUCACUCAUUUUAUAGUUAUUUCUACAAGUCUUCAUGUAUUUGUUUUAAAGGUCCAGUAAAAGCAACAAGUUUAAAAAAAAAAAAACAUAUAACCAACAUAAUAAGAAUAAAAAAAUUAUUACUUAAUACACACAACUUACACAACUAAACCGAAGAAAAAAUAUCCAGAAACAAAAUGUACUCUCAACAACCUUAAUAUAGUUUAUGUAAUCUCAACAAUACAAGUAACAAAUUAAAAAGACAAACAAACAAUAAGUCUCAGUGACACAUCAAGCAACACCA